rnacentral:rRNA from 1 species
GAGCAACGCCGCGUGAGUGAUGAAGGUUUUCGGAUCGUAAAGCUCUGUUGUUAGGGAAGAACAAGUGCGAGAGUAACUGCUCGCACCUUGACGGUACCUAACCAGAAAGCCACGGCUAACUACGUGCCAGCAGCCGCGGUAAUACGUAGGUGGCAAGCGUUGUCCGGAAUUAUUGGGCGUAAAGGGCUCGCAGGCGGUUUCUUAAGUCUGAUGUGAAAGCCCCCGGCUCAACCGGGGAGGGUCAUUGGAAACUGGGAAACUUGAGUGCAGAAGAGGAGAGUGGAAUUCCACGUGUAGCGGUGAAAUGCGUAGAGAUGUGGAGGAACACCAGUGGCGAAGGCGACUCUCUGGUCUGUAACUGACGCUGAGGAGCGAAAGCGUGGGGAGCGAACAGGAUUAGAUACCCUGGUAGUCCACGCCGUAAACGAUGAGUGCUAAGUGUUAGGGGGUUUCCGCCCCUUAGUGCUGCAGCUAACGCAUUAAGCACUCCGCCUGGGGAGUACGGUCGCAAGACUGAAACUCAAAGGAAUUGACGGGGGCCCGCACAAGCGGUGGAGCAUGUGGUUUAAUUCGAAGCAACGCGAAGAACCUUACCAGGUCUUGACAUCCUCUGACAACCCUAGAGAUAGGGCUUUCCCUUCGGGGACAGAGUGACAGGUGGUGCAUGGUUGUCGUCAGCUCGUGUCGUGAGAUGUUGGGUUAAGUCCCGCAACGAGCGCAACCCUUGAUCUUAGUUGCCAGCAUUUAGUUGGGCACUCUAAGGUGACUGCCGGUGACAAACCGGAGGAAAGUGGGGAUGACGUCAAAUCAUCAUGCCCCUUAUGACCUGGGCUACACACGUGCUACAAUGGACAGAACAAAGGGCUGCAAGACCGCAAGGUUUAGCCAUCCCAAUAAAUCUGUUCUCAGUUCGGAUCGCAGUCUGCAACUCGACUGCGUGAAGCUGGAAUCGCUAGUAAUCGCGGAUCAGCAUGC